GGUAACGGCCCACCAAGCCUUCGAUGGAUAGGGGUUCUGAGAGGAAGGUCCCCCACAUUGGAACUGAGACACGGUCCAAACUCCUACGGGAGGCAGCAUG
rnacentral:rRNA from 1 species